GAUGAACGCUGGCGGCGUGCCUAAUACAUGCAAGUCGAGCGAACGGACGAGAAUCUUGCUUCUCUGAUGUUAGCGGCGGACGGGUGAGUAACACGUGGAUAACCUACCUAUAAGACUGGGAUAACUUCGGGAAACCGGAGCUAAUACCGGAUAAUAUUUUGAACCGCAUGGUUCAAAAGUGAAAGACGGUCUUGCUGUCACUUAUAGAUGGAUCCGCGCUGCAUUAGCUGGUUGGUAAGGUAACGGCUUACCAAGGCAACGAUGCAUAGCCGACCUGGGAGGGUGAUAGGACACACUGGAACUGAGACACGGUCCAGACUCCUACGGGAGGCAGCAGUAGGGAAUCUUCCGCAAUGGGCGAAAGCCUGACGGAGCAACGCCGCGUGAGUGAUGAAGGUCUUCGGAUCGUAAAACUCUGUUCUUAGGGAAGAACAUAUGUGUAAGUAACUGUGCACAUCUUGACGGUACCUAAUCAGAAAGCCACGGCUAACUACGUG
rnacentral:rRNA from 1 species